rnacentral:lncRNA from 1 species
GAUCUCUCCUUUCUUUCUUGAUUUGUUUGUGGUUUUAUGUUGUUUAAAUCUCAUGUUUUAGGAUGUCUUUUUGGGUUAAAGAUUGAAACUUGAUUGUGAAUUUGUAAUUUAAAAUAUAUAUUUUUUAUAAAUUUCUCUUGACAUAGAGAGUUUAAAUAGAAAAAAAGUUUCUUGAAACUCAAGUGGAACACAUGAAACUCAAGUGGAUUCACUUGCAAGAGGAUUGUGAAUUUGCUUGUUUCUUGAAAUUUUGUUCUUUUAAUGAGGGUAUUUUUUCUUGCAGUGUUGUGGCCCUUGCAUGUGUAUCACCAGAAACACCCUGUGAAUCUAAUUAUUCUUGGCCUCUUCACCGUUUCGCUAAGCCUCUUGGUUGGAGCAAGCUGCGCUAAUAUAGAAGGUCGGUAUCUUUUUCUUAUCCUGUUUGGACAUUUAAUAGUUCGUUGAUUGUUGGCGACUUCAUGUGCAGCUUUUAUAAUUAUGAUUUGAUUAUUGUCUUGCAUUCAAAUAUUUUCAGGUAAAAUUGUGCUUGAGGCAUUAAUUCUGACCUCCGCUGUGGUUUGCUCUCUAACUGCGUACACUUUCUGGGCUGCAAAGAAGGGCAAGGACUUUAGCUUCCUGGGACCAAUUCUGUUCACUUCCCUCAUUAUCCUCAUCCUGACUAGUUUUAUCCAGGUCAGAUGCCUCAUUUUCUUCAAGU